rnacentral:rRNA from 1 species
UACGUAGGGAGCAAGCGUUGUCCGGAAUCAUUGGGCGUAAAGCGCGCGUAGGUGGCUUCAUAAGUCCGCUGUGAAAGUCAAAGGCUCAACCUUUGAAAGCCGGUGGAUACUGUGGGGCUAGAGUACGGAAGAGGCGAGUGGAAUUCCCGGUGUAGCGGUGAAAUGCGCAGAUAUCGGGAAGAACACCCGUGGCGAAGGCGGUUCUCUGGGACGGUACUGACGCUGAGACGCGAAAGCGUGGGGAGCGAACAGG